AUCCAGCUGACGUGUCCUAAACAGGACGAAACGUGCGUCCUGAAU
rnacentral:hammerhead_ribozyme from 1 species